AGAAGGAGAGGUGUGAGGUGGAGAAGGAUUCCCGCUUGCUGUGGACCUGGGUGGGGUCCGUGCGUUUCUCUCUCGAUCGGCUGUCCCUCACAUGGUGGUGCACUUACGGAUGGACAUCGCAAGUGAAGAAGACUAAGCUUCCAAUUCUCAAUUACUUAAAGAGUUCACUGACAUUUGCAAUAUCGACAAGGCAUGGAUAUUUAAGUCUGAAAAUGGCUGUCCCUCACAUGGUGGUGCACUUAGGGAUGGACAUCGCAACUGAAGAAGACUAAGCUUCCCAAUCUCAAUUACUUAAGGGGUUCUCUGACAUUUGCAACAUCAACAAG